UACAAUCGAUUCACGCUUUCGUCAAUUCGAUUAUUGCCAAACUUCACUCAAAACAGUGACGCGAGAUGUCGUGUAGCUUUUUUCUCGAGAAUCGAUCAGAAUCGAUACAAUUUCUUUUUAAUCUCAGUCGAGCGAUCGAUAUUAGAGAGAAGUUUUUACAAAUGGCCGCUUAACAGAAAGUCGUAAUUGUAACACGAAAAAUUGUGAAUGAAUCGAAGAAAUUUUGUUACUGUAAUCUUCCAAAAAAGAAAAUGAUUGGUGUUUUAACAACUGUGCAUCCAAUCGAAUGAUCGUUCGUUUAUUCUUCGUCGACGUUUUAUUCGUGGAGCAACUUUAGUUGUAAAUCGUAAAGACGCAGCUUUUAACAAAAACCACAAAGUUUUGGAGAGUUAUUUUUAUUCACAUAAUUAUUUAUGAAAAAUUUUCGAAAGAUAUAUUCAAAAAUAUGCUUGAAAAAAAAUUAAAACUUCGAUACAUCAAUUAAACUGAGAUGGUUUCGAAUAGUACGGUGCACGUGUUUGUUCCGGAAGUAGACAUUUCAAAAACUUUAAGAUUAUGAAUAUAUGUAAAAAAAAUAUAUUUCUUUUAUAUUAUUAAUUGAUAUAUUUUUUUUAAAUUAUAUUUUAUCUUUAAUUUUUUAAAUUUUUUUAACAAUAGAAUUUACAUAUACGAUUGAAAUUAAAAUCUUUAUAUUAUAAAAAUAAUUCUAUUUGACAAAAUUAGUACUAAUUUUUUAAAAAGUAUACAUUUUUAAUAAUUUAAUAUUUAUUGAAAAAAUAAUAUUAAUUUAUCAUUAAAUUAUUUUUUUUUUUAAACAAACUCUUGAAUAUAAUUUUUUAUAGAAAAACUGAACAUUGUAUAUGUAAAAAUAUCUUAAUAAAUUAGUUAUAUCAUAAAUUAACUUACCAUAUUAAUUAAUUUUUUAAUUUUUAAUCAAUUUGCAAGAUAUAUAACCGUGAAUAAUUCACGGUUACUUGAUUUUGAUAAAAAUAUUUUUACCUAAUAUUUUACAUCGCUUAUGUGACAUCUGUUCAAACACAAAAUUCACAACAUUCUGAAAAUGUUCGAAUAAAUCUUGUCUUUUCCCUAACCUAUAAAUGGAUCCAAUUUGAUAUAGACGAAACCAGCGUCGCGUCACUGUCAAAUUUGAAUGUAGUUAUAGUGAGUCAUUGACUUUAACAGCUGUACAAUUUCUGAUUCAGCAAUUAUAUACGUUGUGAAAUUUGAUUCUUUACUAAACAUUUAGCUAUGUUUCCUUUUUCUUUCUUUUUUCAACGCAAAAAUUGAGGUUAAGGUCAUUUUUUUAUUAAUAGUCUUCUCAUAAAUAUUUUUAAUUUAUCAAGUUUUAUGAAAUUUUUUUUGAUUAAUGUUAAUUUGAUUAUAUUAUUAUAUUCAGAUUUUGAAUUUUUAGAUUUUCCCGUUUAAAAUGUGAUUUUUCGAAGAAUAAAAAUAACCUAUUUCUAUACCUUAAAAUAUGUAUUGUAAAAAAUUUGUUUAAUUAUUGUGAAACUGAAGGUAGGAAAUGAUAUUUCUGAUUAAUAUCACUUGAAAGAUGUUUAUACAAAAAUUCUUGCCUAUAUUAAAUCAAGAUCAAAGUUCAAUUAAUUCAUUUAACAGAUGCAUAAAUGAAAAAGAGACCCAAAGUUUCACGCCUUGAUCCUGAAUCUGAAAUGAGCAAAAACUGAAAUGAUAUACAUAUAUCGAGCCAUCGAGAUACAUAGACGGGGAGAAAUCCCGAUGAUAAAAAUAGACUCAAACAGCCGUGAGGACCCUUUCGUCGGGUCUAAGUGCGUAAGUGGCGUGUGGAGUGGUUGACCAGUUGGUCGGAAGUGCACACUACCCGCUCGAUGGGACGUCAGCACGAAUCGUGACGAAAGGAUGUAACGUCGAUUGAGGGAGAGAGAGAGGGAGGGAGAAAGCGCGCCAAAAGAGCGAGCCAUAGAAAGAGAACGAGAAAGACAAGCUCUCGAUAUUGCAUACAGACUAGGGAGGGCCAGAGAGAAGGGGGAGGUUUUCCUUUUUAAAAGAAACGGGACACGCCGUGAUAUAAUCGUUGCGUCGAGAGAAGUCAAAGGCACGAAGCAUGCACACGAUCGUUUCGGGCUCCGGUUCAACUCGUGAUUCCGGCUCUUCUUCCCUCCUUCUUCCAUUGUACAUCGCAAUGAGGAAAGAACAAACGAAAGAGAAAGAGACGAAAGAGUCGAUGAGCAGCCGCCGUUCCGUUCCUUACGAGUCGUGCCUCAACUUUCACUCUGAUCUGUUACGCCUCGACAAUAUCCCGCUUCGUCCUCCCACCACUACUCAACCAUGCAUCUUUCCCUCCAUUUACCAUCGUGUCGAUCCUGUUCUGAUUCCCGUGUUGCGAGGGUACGAGGUAACGAGACGUAUAAAACGCCAUACGUACACCACCGAUAAGCCAAUAGGAGUCCUAACUGUCAUUGACUCCACUAUAUGACGUCACAUAGAAGCGAUGCGCACCGAUAGUGUAAGAUGAAAAGGAUGCGGACAAAUAGAUCGAAAUGAAGUACGUAUUGAAAUAUUUGGCAAGGAUUUUUAUCAGGCUGGUUGACGAUUAACGAGAAACUGGGAUAAAUCAUAGGAGAUGGAUUUCCGUACUGUGGUGGAUUCAUGCGAAAAAGAAACCCUCUUACAAUUGACAAUGAUACACCGGUACUCGGAACUGAUUUCACCGAAGCGGGAACAAUGCCCCUCUUGUCUGCCUGCGGUUAAGUAGACGCCACGCCGUUUCAGAAUUUUUGGCACGGUUCCUAUACCUUUUCAAUGACAAACACGGUUUUCUGCUAUUUUCAUUUCUCUUUUCUUCCUCUUUGUUAUAUCGAGCUUGAUCUCCGUGAAUGAUUUCUUUUAAGUAUAGGCCGACCCAGAAAUGAUACUAUAGAAUAAUUAUAAAAAAAUUGGGUACAAUUAUCUAAUGAAUUGUAUUCUUCUAUAUUAUAAAACAUAACAAAAUAAUUAAUAAAAAUGUCGAUUGGAAAAAUGAUCUUUUCUUUUUUUUUUGUAUUAUGAUCUAAUCUUUAAAAAUCUUUUAAAUUAUGAGAUUCUUUAAGAUUAAUCAUGAUACAAAAAAAAGAAGAAAAAGAAAUAUGCAAAUUUAGAAAAAAAUUAAUAUUAUCUCGAGAUAUUUUUCUAUCGAUUUCCAUUUAUACAAAUUUCCAGCUGUUUCGCAGUUUAUUAUGAUCUUAAGCAUGCAAGGCGAGGCAGUAAAUUUCACGAUGAAGAAACAGAAACGCGUAGUAAGUGCAGGGAACGAAAGAAAAAAUUAUCGCUGUGAGCCAGUCCCAGCUCGGAGUUAAAAAUAUGGCCAAUUAAAGACCCACACAAAGCUGAAUGCAAGGGCCAACGUAUUGUGGCUUGACAAAUCCGAGAUGGAACAGGCCCGUCGACUUUCCCCAUUUGUUUCCUUCUGAAUACGAAAUAUCUUUGUAAUUUAUUUCUCUUCAUCUGCUCUUCUUUUUUUAUUUCUUUAAAAGAUUUAUCAGAUUACCCUUUGUAUGAAUUUAAAAUAUUUUCCAUUUAUAUCAAAGAUCCAUUUAUAUAUAAUUUAUAUAAAAGAAAUUAAAGAUUAACAUAAAAAUUAAUCUUCAAUUAAUAAAAAUAUAUUCUACAAUAUUUUAAUGAUACUUUAAUAAUAAUGAAAUUGUUAUCUCUUAAGUUAAUAAAAGAAGAGUUAUAGAAAUUAAAAGUAAAUGAUAACUAAAUGAAACAACUUUAAAUAACUCUCUGAUAACAUUAACAAAGAAUGUCAGUUAUAUAUUUAAAAUAAAAACAAUAAAAAAUCGAUAUGAUUUUUAUAGUAUUAUACUACAAAAAUAAUACUAAAAUGAUAAAAAUAACAAUAAAUUAAUUUAAAAAUAAAUCUUUUUAUUCGCAGCAUCCUUCUCUGAGCUAAUUUCUUUAUGUAUACAAAGAGAUGUGUCAGCUUUUUUUUCACGUUAAUUUGAAUAUCGCCAGUAUUUUCGUUUUUAACCCAAAUAAAUUAUUCAAAGAGACGAAUUUUUCUGACCUGUCCAGCGACUGAUUCCUUUUUCAUUCGAGCACCAGUUUUCGUUCAUGUUCCGGUCCUCCGUGGGCAUCUGCAUAUACGCACACAACAAAACAUGUGGGACGAUCGAGAUUUAAGGCCGGUUUCGAAGAUUUAAGAUCUAGUCGCGUUGCGUUACGAACAUAAUUUAUUUUUGCAAAGUGUUGCAGGACUUGACACGAACUGGUAGGAAGAAAAAAAGAAAAAGUACGCGGUUGAAAGUUGAAAAACAAGUCUGAGGAAGAAGAUAAACUUCUUGAUCAAAAAGAAGUCCUGCAUUUUACAUCGUUACUUCUCUGAAUUCUUGGAUUCCUUGUCUUCCUACUUUCUCUGCAGUUCAAAGGUGAUGAUAGUUGGUCAUCCAACAAAGUAUUGGCUAUUAGAUGAUCGGAGAAUGAAUUAUUUAUAAUAUUUUAACCUAAAAUAUAUCUUUAGCAUUUUCUUAUCUAUAUGAUAAAUAAAUACAAUAAAUACAAUAGAUAAAUACAAUUGUGAAAAAUACGAAUACGAUCGAAAUUUAUUAUUUGGUGAAAAAUUUUCGAAAGAUUCAAUAGGAUCGUGCUCGAACAUAAGAAAACUGAUCGAAAAACAAGCCUAUGGCGUUGGUCUGAUUAUGAAUCCUGCAAGUUUUAAGGUUCAAUCGAUAACGAAUCUAAAUAUUGGCUUUGUCUUUUAUCAGCGUGCACAAUCCUGAAAGUAGUAAAGUACCCGACCGAUCGUAAUUCUCCGUAUAUCUUAUGUAUACACAGGAAAAGUCAUAAAACUGAGAUGGCGGGAAAUAAGGUCAUCGGUGCAGUCACCCUUGCAAAUCCUAUGAUUUAAAAAAAAAAUGGAAAUUUUAAUAACAAUAUAAUGAUUAAUAUUCAAUUAAAUACUAGAAGAAAAUUAAUCUUUUAAGGGGAAAAAAAGACUUUUAAACUUAAUUCCUACAAAAUCCCUAAGAUACAAGAUAUUUUAAUGAUAUUGGAAUUUCUAAAUUUUAAUGCCGAGAGAUCGAUUGUCGUACUGCGACACUAGUGUUGGAGAGUUGGCACAACUCGAGAGUUGCUGUUCAUGGCUAGCCCUGAGAUCAAACUCCGGACCACUAUCGAGAUCUUCCAAGAUCCUUCUCGUUCGAGAGCAGUUUCAUUAAAUUUAGAUCGCGUGUACCAUUCGCGCUCUUCUAAAUUACUCGCAAUUAAUAUUCUUGUAUACGACAACGUAAAAAAAUGUGAAAAUUAAUUCUAUUAAAUCUCUUCACAAGAGUGAACGACGAUAUUUCAUAUCAUUCGUCUUUUUAUUAAUAAUAAAAAUUUUUAUUAUUGUAUUCUAUUGUAAAUAUAAUUUUUAUUCUAUUAAAAUUAAGUUUAAAAAAAAAAUAAAAAGAAUAUUAUGAAAGUGAAAAAAUUAAAGGGAUAAAUCGAUAUUCAAAUAAAUGUUAAGUAAUAAAAAUAUUUCUACUCGAAUUGCAUUUAAAUUCAAGAUUGUCUCUGUCAUUCUAUCAUUCUGUUCAUUCAUACAAAUAUAUAUAUAAUAAGUAUUUUAAAAUAUAAAUAGUUGCAUAGCAUUUUAUCAUUGUUUAUUUCUUUCAUUAAAUAAUUUAAAAAAGAAUUUAUGUACACUACUAAAAUUUGUACUAUUCAAACAUUUUUAUUUGUCGUAGUAAAAUCGAUGUUAACGUUCAAAUAAUUACAAUAAUGUUUUAUUAAAAUAAAAUUGAAAAGGAUAUUUAAAAUUACUCCAAGUAUUCUCAUUCAAGUGAAAACAAUAGAAAUUUAUUAACAUUUUCAUUAUUACAUGAAAUUUAUUGUACUUUUGUUAAAUAAAAACAUUUGUUAAAUAAUU